rnacentral:lncRNA from 1 species
UUCAAUGUAGAAAAUUUUGAUUUUUGGCUAAAAUGGCUGCAGUCUAUCGUGCACCCCUUGUGAAAUUCAUGUCAUGGUUGAAACCAAGCUUGCCACGAUAUUUUUCCAACAUAUGCUUUUCCUGCAAGCCACAGCACAAGACACUUGAAAUGAACUACAGGAAUACAUCAGUACCAUUAAAUUUUGCAUGUGCAACAAAAUAUUGUGACAUUUCAUGAGAAUGAAUGAUUCAUUUAAGUCCAAUUCAUGUAUAGUUUUGGGUUUGAAGGUUGUUAAAGUUGGGAAGGUGAUGGGAGAAUUGGCCUGGUUACAGCCAGCAAAUAGCUGAUCAGUUCACAAAGAGCACUUAAAUCUUUGCCUUUCCUUUAGCUUAAGGUGUCUAUUUGGUUGUCGAGUCUAUUAAUGUGAUUGCUUUUUAACUUGGUCGAUUGGCAGCUUGUUCACAUCAGAUGGAAGUUUCUGCCCUUGUAAACCUUCAAGGGACUGUAAUGGCUUAACAGUUUCUCUAAAAGAGUAAAAGGAAACAGCGGCUACCAAAUCUCACAUAAGCUAGAAUUUCGUAUGAACAGGUCCUAGUUAAAUUGCCAAGAAUAAAUAAAAGAAAGAUGGGGAGAGUCCUUGUCUUUCAGGGCAACCUAAAGGACGACUCCUGCAAAGAAGACAGCGUUACAACUCAACAACAGAACAAUGUCGGAAAACUGGCAAAUUCACGACACCUGUUAAUAAUACACAGGCUUAAUUCUAAGAGCUUGACUUGACUUCCCUGGACAACUACUGGUUCUAACUCAUUCAGGGGUGUCCUGCUAAACAAGGAAAUACGCUCUGCCUGCAAAUGAUGAUAGCGCCAAAAUGCAAUCUCAAGAAAACUCAAUCUUUAAGUAACUACCAUUCCUCAAUUUAAAAAAAAAAAAAAAUCCUUGAACUAGCUCAUUGCUUGCAUGCCUGCACAAUCUGAUCAGCUUGGGGGAACACUGUUGCUCUUACCUACUACAUUAAGGCCAUCAAAGUUGGAGAUUAAUCACCCAUCUAACCUUAGUUAGCCUCAGGGAAACCACUGAUCUUACUUCACAAGAAAAACAAUCCCCCAAUCAUGGAGAGAUCGUCACCCAUCUUCUACGUCCUGUAGAAGAGAUCUAGUUGUGAUGUAAACUAGGCAAAUAGAAACAGAUAAGAUAUGAGGAUAUAGAGCUUUUCAAAUUUUCUGAAAUAGGCUAAUCAAAUUUCAGCUCAACUGCUAAAUGAUUUUCUUUUCAAAAACAAAAUCUUCAGAUUCUGACGGGAAUUGCAGGAUCAAUCAUCUGGUAAUCCUAUGACUCCAAUUACAACAAGGAAAAGAGAAGAAAGCCAAGAAACUCAUAAACACACUAAAACAAUUCCAAGAAUUCAGGAACUUCAAUCAGGCACAUCCAUCAAUGAUCAUCAGCAAAAAAAAAAAAAACGUAAAAACCAUAAAAACAAAAGAACUGCAUGAAUAAUUUAGGAACCUAACAUUUCAGGCUAAGCACAUAAAUCCAAUGAUCGCCAAUCAAAAUCAAGCAAAAGAACUGUUACAAGCGCAAAGAUCCAAACCAUGAACCAUUCACCAAGACAUUAAAAGAUUAUGUGAACAAAAACUUGGUCAAUGCCACCGUACCUGCAAGGGAAACCCACCAAGAUAAUCAUAUUAGAGGCGAAGAAUUGGUGAACCCGUUUGGAGAUAGCAACAACAAAACAAAAUUGAUCUUUAAGAUCUGUCCAUGUCCUCCCAUGUCAAAGGUUGAUUGUUUUGCCCUGUAUUUAACAUUGAUGUCAUUGGUAAGGUUGCCAUGUCAUCAUUCUUGCAAUUAGAGCUAUGCCACUGGAUUUUGAGAUUGUUGGCAGGUUCAAUUGAGGCCAGGGGGUGGGGGCAAUGAAGGGUAUUGGAGAAAAAGUGGAGCAGAAAUUGAGGUUGUCACGUUAGAUAGAAAAGGAUGAAUUGUAGGAGUAGUGGUGAAUAUCCAAAUGAUUAUUAAAAUAAAGGUUGCAAACUACAAGAAUGAUUUGAAUUUAUCAUAAAUCUUUAAAACAUCCAAUUUUACAACUGCAAAUUUUUAAAUUUGGACCAAAUUCAUCCAAUUUCGACAGAAAGAAUAUUCCUUGAAAUAUUCUAUUUAAAUUGUUUUAC